UACGUAGGAUGCAAGCGUUGUCCGGAAUUAUUGGGCGUAAAGAGCGCGCAGGCGGUAUGACAAGUCAGAUGUGAAAGAGGCCGGCUUAACCGGCAAGGGUCAUUUGAAACUGUCAGACUAGAGUGCAGCAGAGGAUAGUGGAAUUCCCGGUGUAGUGGUGAAAUGCGUAGAUAUCGGGAGGAACACCAGUGGCGAAGGCGGGUCUCUGGGCCGAUACUGACGCUGAGGAGCGAAAGCGUGGGGAGCGAACAGG
rnacentral:rRNA from 1 species